rnacentral:snRNA from 1 species
UUGCUUUGGCAACACAUAUACUAAAAUUAAAAUGAUGCAGAGAUUAGCAUGGCCCCUGCACAAGGACAACAUGCAAAUUCAUGAAGCAUUCCAUUUUUAU